ACCGAAUCUUCUAAUAUGUGUGACUCCAUAGGUUCGAACCUAAGUCGGUAGCAUAAGAAUAAAUUUUUAUACUAAUCAAUGUAACUAUCUAGCAAUGGAUCCGAUGUCUGGAUUGGUCAAAAGAUUGCAAAACAACAUUCUAGAACCUACUGGCAUAUGGUUACCGUAUAAUUCAUCCCUUUGACCCUAAUGCUCAAAGUCACCUAGGGUUUAAUUGUCAA
rnacentral:lncRNA from 1 species